rnacentral:rRNA from 1 species
UACGGGGGGGGCAAGCGUUGUUCGGAAUUACUGGGCGUAAAGGGCGCGUAGGCGGUCAGCACAAGUCAGUUGUGAAAUCUCCGGGCUUAACUCGGAAAGGUCAACUGAUACUGUGCGACUAGAGUGCAGAAGGGGCAACUGGAAUUCUCGGUGUAGCGGUGAAAUGCGUAGAUAUCGAGAGGAACACCUGCGGCGAAGGCGGGUGGCUGGGCUGACACUGACGCUGAUGCGCGAAAGCCAG